GAACGGGCCCUCGCAGUCCACGCGCGUCCAACCCGUCCACCAGCAGGGGGCGGCACCACACACACACACACACACACUGCAGUAAACCCGUCCACCAGCAGGGGGGUGGCACCACACACACACACACUGCAGUAAACCCGUCCACAAGCUGGGGGCGGCACCCCACACACACUGCAGUAAACCCGUCCACCAGCAGAGGGCGGCACCACACACACACACACACUGCAGUAAACCCGUCCACCAGCAGAGGACGGUACCACACACACACACUGCAGUAAACCCGUCCACUAGCAGGGGGCGG
rnacentral:lncRNA from 1 species